rnacentral:rRNA from 1 species
CACGGGCGGCAGCAGUGGGGAAUAUUGGGCAAUAGGCGCAAGCCUGACCCAGCAACGCCGCGUGAAGGAAGAAGGCUUUCGGGUUGUAAACUUCUUUUCUCAGGGACGAAGAAAGUGACGGUACCUGAGGUAUAAGCCACGGCUAACUACGUGCCAGCAGCCGCGGUAAUACGUAGGUGGCAAGCGUUAUCCGGAUUUAUUGGGUGUAAAGGGCGUGUUGGCGGGAGCGCAAGUCAGAUGUGAAAACUCAGGGCUCAACCCUGAGCCUGCAUUUGAAACUGUGUUUCUUGAGUGCUGGAGAGGGAGUCGGAAUUCCGGGUGUAGCGGUGAAAUGCGUAGAUAUACGGAGGAACACCAGUGGCGAAGGCGGAUUGCUGGACAGUAACUGACGCUGAGGCGCGAAAGCGUGGGGAGCAAACAGGAUUAGAUACCCUAGUAGUC